rnacentral:rRNA from 1 species
AUUGAACGCUGGCGGCAGGCCUAACACAUGCAAGUCGAACGGUAACAGGAAACAGCUUGCUGUUUCGCUGACGAGUGGCGGACGGGUGAGUAAUGUCUGGGAAACUGCCUGAUGGAGGGGGAUAACUACUGGAAACGGUAGCUAAUACCGCAUAACGUCGCAAGACCAAAGAGGGGGACCUUCGGGCCUCUUGCCAUCGGAUGUGCCCAGAUGGGAUUAGCUUGUUGGUGGGGUAACGGCUCACCAAGGCGACGAUCCCUAGCUGGUCUGAGGGGAUGACCAGCCACACUGGAACUGAGACACGGUCCAGACUCCUACGGGAGGCAGCAGUGGGGAAUAUUGCACAAUGGGCGCAAGCCUGAUGCAGCCAGGCCGCGUGUAUGAAGAAGGCCUUCGGGUUGUAAAGUACUUUCAGCGAGGAGGAAGGGAGUAAAGUUAGUACCUUUACUCAUUGACGUUACCCGCAGAAGAAGCACCGGCUAACUCCGUGCCAGCAGCCGCCGUAA